CACAAUAGCUUUCUGUAACUUGAGCAACAUGGAGUACGAUUAUCGUGUUUUCGAGCCAUCACCGGCUUUGACCCAAGCAUUAAGAGAACUGCAAAUUCUUCAAACAAAAAGAAGGAAAAUGGCUGAAGUAGUUACCAGAAUAAUUGGAGAUGGUGAAAUAACCAUAGAGUAUCCAAACGUAGUAAAAACAUUUACAGGAGCUGUGACUAUCGUAAAAUCACAGGAUUCAUGUCAAUUUGAAGUACGUUCCAACGGCGUAACAGAUGUGGUGGUUAAAUGGGCAGAAGUGGUAUGUUGUAAUGUAUUCGAAAAGACAAUUAGUUUACAAUUCAACACAGACUAUUUCUGGGAAAAAUGUAUUGUCAAAUUUUUUGAAAAAGUCACAGGUUGAUCUUUUUAUAUCCUUACUACCAGCCAUUAAAAAACCUGCGUCCAGAUACAGUGAUUCAACUGCUAGUUCCGACAUUGAUUAUAACGAUUCGGGCAACGAGAAAACCCACCUAUUUUCCCAAGAUAACUUGUAUAACCCACAAACUUCCGAU